rnacentral:rRNA from 1 species
AACGAACGCUGGCGGCAGGCCUAACACAUGCAAGUCGAACGAUAAGCCACCUUCGGGUGGUGGACAGUGGCAGACGGGUGAGUAACGCGUGGGAACGUGCCUUUCGGUUCGGGAUAACCCAGGGAAACUUGGGCUAAUACCGGAUACGCCCUUCGGGGGAAAGAUUCAUUGCCGAAAGAUCGGCCCGCGUCGGAUUAGCUAGUUGGUGGGGUAAUGGCCUACCAAGGCGACGAUCCGUAGCUGGUCUGAGAGGAUGACCAGCCACACUGGGACUGAGACACGGCCCAGACUCCGACGGGAGGCAGCAGUGGGGAAUAUUGGACAAUGGGCGAAAGCCUGAUCCAGCCAUGCCGCGUGGGUGAAGAAGGCCUUAGGGUUGUAAACCCCUUUCAGCGGGGACGAUAAUGACGGUACCUGCAGAAGAAGUCCCGGCUAACUCCGUGCCAGCCGCCGCCAUAA